GUGGCAAUGAGAAGAAAAAAAUACCUGCUUUUUUUUCACUCACUGUGACAGUGGUGUUGGGAACUGUUCUACUUGCAGGAACUCACCGUGUGGGAAGAGAUCCCGAGGUUUGUGAUUCAGCAUUUUCUGCCACUGCCAGAAUAUGAAGGGGGAAAACUCUGCAGAAAAAGUUUCACAGAAUCACAGAACUGGAAGGGCUGGAAGGGACAUCUGGAGAUCAUCGAGUCCAACCCCCUGCCAAAGCAGGCUCCCUACAGCAGGCUGCACAGACCUGGUCUGCAUCUGCUUCGUUGCUUGAAGAUCAAUGUCCGCUCAUCUCCUUGUUCUUUCUGUUGCCUUUACUGACUGGACUCCAAAAUGAAACCACC
ensembl:lncRNA